GCAAGUCGAGCGGUAACAUUUCCAGCUUGCUGGAAGAUGACGAGCGGCGGACGGGGGAGUAACGCGUAGGGAUCUACCGAGUAGUGGGGGGCAACCAGUGGAAACGCUGGCUAAUACCGCAUACGCCCUACGGGGGAAAGCAUGGGAUCUUCGGACCUUGCGCUAUACGAUGUGCCUGCGUGAGAUUAGCUUGUUGGUGAGGUAAUGGCUCACCAAGGCGACGAUCUCUAGCUGGUCUGAGAGGAUGAUC
rnacentral:rRNA from 1 species